rnacentral:rRNA from 1 species
UACGGAGGGGGCUAGCGUUGUUCGGAAUUACUGGGCGUAAAGGGCGCGUAGGCGGAUAUUUAAGUCGGGGGUGAAAGCCCAGGGCUCAACCCUGGAACAGCCUUCGAUACUGGAUAUCUUGAGUACGGGAGAGGUGAGUGGAACUCCGAGUGUAGAGGUGAAAUUCGUAGAUAUUCGGAAGAACACCAGUGGCGAAGGCGACUCACUGGCCCGUUACUGACGCUGAGGCGCGAAAGCGUGGGGAGCAAACAGG